AUUUAUUUAGUAUAUAAGUACAUAUGACUUCCAAUCAUAAAGAUCAAAUGAAUUGAAAUAAAUA
rnacentral:tRNA from 1 species